rnacentral:sRNA from 1 species
CAAAAAGCCGACCGCGACCCAGUUUUAGGUGCCGUAAAAGUCACGGGCUAGCUACUUGGGGAAAGAAAUGAAUAAAAUUAAAAAUUACACCAUUGCUGAGUCUAGUUUGAGCAGAAGUAAUAUUUCGGAAUGGAAUUCUGUAAUUUUAAUGAAGCUAGCCGGGAUUUCACCAAUUCGUAGCUCUAUGACAGAAGAGGAUACUUUAAAACUUGUGAACGAUCGUGGCGGCAGGCAAAUUGCUCAUCUCUGAAGCGGAGAGAGCAUAAAUAAGGCCUACCCCCCGCCUGACCCCAUCAUGGCGCACUUUUCCAACAGCGAAACAAAAAACAGAAAGAUAGAAAACGUAGGAAAAAAAUUGUAGAUGAAAAUUGGCGCAAAAAUUACACGCGAGCCCCGAAACGUGACGUAGUCGUGACGUUAGUAGACUUGCAAGGCAGCCGGCGAAACUUAAAGUGCAAUGUUAGAGCAAAGACAACGAGGAACGACGACGGAGCAACAACGAAGAAUGCAGAAGCAGCGGAAGCAGCAGCACUACGUAGCGAACGCAACACAACAAUAAUUAAAAGUGCAACAAUUACAACAACCAAAACAACAACAACAACCAACAUGUGAAUUGCGUUUUUUUUUUACCAAAACCAAAACAAAACCACGAAGAACAAGUGUAGCCAGAGCCUGAGAGAGAGGGAGAGUGAAAGAAGGAGAAAGCGAAAAGCGAAGAGCGCCAUAAGAAAGAGACAAAGAAAGAAAAAGCCGCCAAAAUAUUAUAGCAACAGCAACAAAAACAUAAACAACAACAACUAGCAACAAACCAACAGCAAAUAACAACAACAAAUGUAAUAUAAAUAACGGUUCAAGCAAAACCAAAAAACAAUUUCGCGCGCGCUCUUUUUCCUUCUACCCUUUGUUUCUCUCAAAGACGGACGAGGACGAACACUGACAACACACACAAACAAAAAAUACAAAAAAAAAAACAACAAAACCGCUGCUUCUACGAAUUAUAUUUUGUUCGUCAAACAUCUUUUUUGAAAACUUCAAUCGUCAUUUAAUCAUCGUCAUAAUAACCACUCCAAUAAAACUCCACUCCCCCCGCAAUAUUCCGGAAACAGCAAACAAACAAAACAACAACAAUUUGAAAAGUGGCUAGAACAAAAACA